UUCACCCUUCAUGUGUUUAACAGAUGGGGCUUCUUUGCUGCUCACCUGUUUGGCAUCAGCACUGUAACCAGUCUCUGCUGGGUGACAGCCCCCCAGGACCUGGUGCGCAUGGGACUUGCGGCUGUGCUGUGGGACUGAGCUGAGAGAAGAAGGGAGCUCACAUGGACUUUUUUUGGGCCUCUUUGGUCCAAAUGUCUUAUAGCACUUGGAAGAGAAAGCCAUUGCUUUCGUGUUUUCAGCAGGACAAUUGAACAGUGACCAGAGUCCUGAGCCCUUUGGCAGAAGCAGGACUUCCCAGCACAGAGAGCCGAUGAGGUCCAGCCUUGCUUGGGGCACGGAGCAAUGCCCACAGCAGCAGCAGCAGCUGCCCCUGGAAACAGGCAGAGAGACAUGUUGGGGAGAGGAAACGUGAGAUCUGACACUAAAACAGAAGGCUGGAUUUGUGGAGAGAUCUUGAAAAACAGCUGAGAGAAACCUCUGUGGAGCAGCAGGUAACUUCAUUUCCCAUCACCACUUUCUUUCCUAGGGUUAUCUUCUCUUCACUCAAUAUCAGAUCAGAGCUGUUAUCAGU
rnacentral:lncRNA from 1 species